rnacentral:rRNA from 1 species
AACGAACGCUGGCGGCAGGCUUAACACAUGCAAGUCGAACGCAUCCUUCGGGGUGAGUGGCAGACGGGUGAGUAACGCGUGGGAACGUGCCCUUCAGUUCGGGAUAACCCAGGGAAACUUGGGCUAAUACCGGAUACGUGCGAGAGCAGAAAGAUUUGUCGCUGAAGGAGCGGCCCGCGUCUGAUUAGCUAGUUGGUGGGGUAAUGGCCCUCCAAGGCGACGAUUAGUAGGUGGUCUGAGAGGAUGAUCAGCCACAUUGGGACAGAGACCCUGCCCAAACUCCUACGGGAGGCAGCAGUAGGGAAUAUUGGACGAUGGGCGCAAGCCUGAUCCAGCCAUGCCGCGUGAGUGAUGAAGGCCUUAGGGUUGUAAAGCUCUUUCGUCCGGGACGAUAAUGACGGUACCGGAAGAAGAAGCCCCGGCUAACUUCGUGCCAGCCGCCGCGGUAA